CAGAAUCCGGUUGAUCCUGCCGGACCUGACUGCUAUCGGAUUGAUACUAAGCCAUGCGAGUCUUUGUAGUAAUACAAGGCAGACGGCUCAGUAACGCGUAGUCAACCUACCCUAUGGACGGGAAUAAUCUCGGGAAACUGAGCAUAAUACCCGGCGUACCACCAUUCCUGGAAUGGUUGGUGGUUAAAAUGAUUCGUCGCCGUAGGAUGGGACUGCGACCUAUCAGCUUGUUGGUGAGGUAAAGGCCCACCAAGGCGAUUACAGGUACGGGCUCUGAGAGGAGAAGCCCGGAGAUGGGUACUGAGACACGGACCCAGGCCCUAUGGGGCGCAGCAGGCGAGAAAACUUUGCAAUGUGCGAAAGCACGACAAGGUUAAUCCGAGUGAUUUCUGCUAAAGGAAUCUUUUGCCAGUUCUAAAAAUACUAGUGAAUAAGGGGUGGGCAAGUUCUGGUGUCAGCCGCCGCGGUAAAACCAGCACCUCAAGUGGUCAGGAGGAUUAUUGGGCCUAAAGCAUCCGUAGCCUGCUCUGUAAGUUUUCGGUUAAAUCUAUAUGCUCAACGUAUAGGCUGCCGAAAAUACUGCAGUGCUAGGAAGUGGGAGAGGUAGACGGUACUUGAUAGGAAGGGGUAAAAUCCUUUGAUCUAUCGAUGACCACCUGUGGCGAAGGCGGUCUACCAGAACACGUUCGACGGUGAGGGAUGAAAGCUGGGGGAGCAAACCGGAUUAGAUACCCGGGUAGUCCCAGCUGUAAACGAUGCAGACUCGAUGAUGCA
rnacentral:rRNA from 1 species